GGGGAAUUUUCCGCAAUGGGCGAAAGCCUGACGGAGCAAUACCGCGUGAGGCAGGAAGGCUUUUGGGUUGUAAACCUCUUUUCUUAAGGAAGAAGAUCUGACGGUACUUAAGGAAUCAGCAUCGGCUAACUCCGUGCCAGCAGCCGCGGUAAUACGGAGGAUGCAAGCGUUAUCCGGAAUUAUUGGGCGUAAAGCGUCCGCAGGUGGCCUUUCAAGUCUGCUGUCAAAGACCAGAGCUCAACUCUGGGCCGGCGGUGGAAACUGGGAGGCUAGAGUACGGUAGGGGUAGAGGGAAUUCCCAGUGUAGCGGUGAAAUGCGUAGAGAUUGGGAAGAACACCAGUGGCGAAGGCGCUCUACUGGACCGAAACUGACACUCAGGGACGAAAGCUAGGGGAGCGAAAGGGAUUAGAUACCCCUGUAGUC
rnacentral:rRNA from 1 species